rnacentral:lncRNA from 1 species
CUCGAGGACUUGUAUCAGCUGCAUCGCGGUCUGAUCCAUCUGCAUGGCUGCUCACGUCGACCCGGGGCCUCGUUCUAGUUUGAAUAGAAAUAAAGGUCUCUUAAUUCGCAAGAGCGUUCGAACACCACGAAGGAAUAGAAAUGGGAAAUUCGUAAUUCGUAAUCUGCCAUUUGCUCCAGUUGUUGAGCAUCGAGAAGAUAGCCAUGCCGCAAAGGAGUAGAAAAAUAAGAAUUCGCCAUUGUUUGCCAAAUGGUGAAAGGAUUACAGGAGACUUUUGCUGAGGAAUAUAAUGCGAAAAAUUUGCACUAAUGAAUUUGGUCCAGGAUGGAUUGAUUCUUUGGCUGCCUGAAAUAAGGGCAAACUUCCGACGAACAUGGUCUCGAUCAACGGAGGCGCUGGCACCAAAUCUUCCAACUUGAGAUAAAAAAUUCGUUGCAAACCCUGGACCGAGAGACUUCGGAGCUCCGGCAACUUGCCCAACAGCCUCGACAAAUACUGCGUUUUACGCUGCGCCUCCGCGUUGUACGUCACGUGAUCUCGCAACGAUGAUAUUAUUUUGGUCUGCAAAAGCUCCACGCGAUGAGGCUCCUUCAAACCGUAUCUCUCUGGGAAUUCAAGGAAAAAUCAUAAUUUUAUUAAUUUAAGAGUUCCUUUUUGACUCAGUUUUGUCUCUGAUUAAUUCACUUGAAUUUAAUUCACCUGUGACCAGGGUCAGGGCGCAGAGACACGCGAACGCGCUGAUAUCGACGUCCAGGACCCGGAGGGCUUGACAAAAGUCGAGGAUCCCGUGGAGCCAGUCACCGAAACUCCGCUGACAUUGGGCACGCGUCAAAACCACACCGUUGCAAAACGUCAGACUCGUGUCCUCCGCCCUCGUGCGGUACGCCAGCCUCAGUACAAAAAGCUCCAAACUCGCAGACUGGAAAAGCAGCUCCUGGGAAAAGUGAAAAUUUCCUCGGUUAUCGGCAGGUCGGCGGGCCCGGGCUCCCGGUACUGCGAGUAGUCGAGGUUCGCGAGAUCGGGGGUCGUGUCGACGUGGGCACGGACGAGGGCCGUUAUCAGCGAAACUGGCGGACUCGGGGGCGACUCUUGCGGGGAUUUCGGCUUCGAGGGCAAUCGACCACGACGCCCUUUCAACGAAUCUGUUCUCACGACCUGAAUUCAGAAAAGGAGUUCAAUGAAUUUCUGAUUUUAAAGCGAGCCGGGUUUCGUGAAUGAAAAAAUCGGAGAAGCUUUUUUUUUUCAUUAGAAUUCGAGGAAAAUGAAGAAAUUUGAUGAAUUCGGAAAAUCACGAUUCAAUGCGACGGACUGAUAAAAUUGAAAAAUCAGAUGAA